rnacentral:lncRNA from 1 species
CUUUUUUUAAAUAUAGUUUUAUCUGUCUAUGGAAGUUACUUACAGAAUUUUAAUUGACGACAUACGUUCAAAGUACCCAUUCCACUAGAUCAGGGCGUUAAAGUUAAAGAUUGAUUGUAAAACUGAAAUUACUAAAUAUUGUAACCAAAAUGUGGCAAAGGCUAAUUAUGGUUGAGGGUGGAAAUUUAGAAUGACUUUAAAGUUUCUUCUCAUAUCUAGCAAAUUGACAAAGAUGACAUUUCCUUAAAUUUUUCAAGUCAACACAUGCGUACUCACUAUUGUAAUGAUUAUAGUCUAUUGACAAAGCAUCCAACGGUAGUUGCAUCGAUCACAGUGUCAUCUAAGGUAACAGGUUUAUAACUUAAUAUACGAGAGGCGAAUUCCAUCUACACAAAAUUCAUCAAUGG